GGGGGCGACCUGGCUUCGACGGGGGUGGAGAGGCGAUGGCUGCGUGUCGAGGUCCCAAUCCUCGUUAAACAAUGGGAACCUAUUUUAAUUGCGGACAAUUCGUACGCAAUGGCUGCGUAAUUAAAGCGUAGCCCGUUCCGCCGGAUCAGGCCCGUGGGAUCUGACCGGAGCGCCGACUUAAGCGGGCUGGCUCGUGGGCCUCCGCUCGAAGGACCAGGAGUAAGAUCUUAAUCGAGCUGGCGUAACAUCAACCCUGUUUACCGGGGUGGCGUUGCACGAGAUUUAAAAGGUAAACUACACACGUAGACGCUGUCGGUGAACUGCUUUCGGACGCGGGUUCGAUUCCCGCCGCCUCCACCA
rnacentral:tmRNA from 3 species